rnacentral:rRNA from 1 species
CCUACGGGAGGCAGCAGUUAGGAAUUUUGGGCAAUGGGCGCAAGCCUGACCCAGCAACGCCGCGUGGGUGACGAAGGCCUUCGGGUUGUAAAGCCCUUUUCUGGGGGAAGAUGAUGACGGUACCCCAGGAAGAAGCACCGGCUAACUACGUGCCAGCAGCCGCGGUAAU